GACGAACGCUGGCGGCGUGCUUAACACAUGCAAGUCGAACGGAAAGGCCCUGCUUUUGUGGGGUGCUCGAGUGGCGAACGGGUGAGUAACACGUGAGUAACCUGCCCUUGACUUUGGGAUAACUUCAGGAAACUGGGGCUAAUACCGGAUAGGAGCUCCUGCUGCAUGGUGGGGGUUGGAAAGUUUCGGCGGUUGGGGAUGGACUCGCGGCUUAUCAGCUUGUUGGUGGGGUAGUGGCUUACCAAGGCUUUGACGGGUAGCCGGCCUGAGAGGGUGACCGGCCACAUUGGGCCUGAGAGACGGACCAGACUCGUACGGGAGGCAGUAGUGGGAAAUAUGGCGGAAUAGGCGGAAGCGUGUUGCAGCAGCGCCGCGUGCGUGAUGACGGCCUUCGGGUUGUGAACCGCUUUCGCAUGUAACGAAGCGUGAGUGACGGUAAUGGGUAAAGAAGCACCGGCUAACUACGUG
rnacentral:rRNA from 1 species